rnacentral:rRNA from 1 species
GUAGGUGGCAAGCGUUGUCCGGAAUUAUUGGGGCGUAAAGCGCGCGCAGGCGGUUCUUUAAGUCUGAUGUGAAAGCCCACGGGCUCAACCGUGGAGGGUCAUUGGAAACUGGAGAACUUGAGUACAGAAGAGGAAAGCGGAAUUCCACGUGUAGCGGUGAAAUGCGUAGAGAUGUGGAGGAACACCAGUGGCGAAGGCGGCUCUCUGGUCUGUAACUGACGCUGAGGCGCGAAAGCGUGGGGAGCAAACAGGAUUAGAUACCCUGGUAGUCCACGCCGUAAACGAUGAGUGCUAAGUGUUAGGGGGUUUCCGCCCCUUAGUGCUGCAGCUAACGCAUUAAGCACUCCGCCUGGGGAGUACGGCCGCAAGGCUG